GACGAACGCUGGCGGCGUGCCUAAUACAUGCAAGUAGAACGCUGAAGAGAGGAGCUGCUCUUCUUGGAUGAGUUGCGAACGGGUGAGUAACGCGUAGGUAACCUGCCUUGUAGCGGGGGAUAACUAUUGGAAACGAUAGCUAAUACCGCAUAACAAUGGAUGACACAUGUCAUUUAUUUGAAAGGGGCAAUUGCUCCACUACAAGAUGACCUUGCGUUGUAUUAGCUAGUAGGUGAGGUAAUGGCUAACCUAGGCGACGAUACAUAGCCGACCUGAGAGGGUGAUCGGCCACACUGGGACUGAGACACGGCCCAGACUCCUACGGGAGGCAGCAGUAGGGAAUCUUCGGCAAUGGGGGCAACCCUGACCGAGCAACGCCGCGUGAGUGAAGAAGGUUUUCGGAUCGUAAAGCUCUGUUGUAAGUCAAGAACGGGUGUGAGAGUGGAAAGUUCACACUGUGACGGUAGCUUACCAGAAAGGGACGGCUAACUACGUG
rnacentral:rRNA from 1 species